AUACAGCCACGUCAUGGUUGGUAUAUAUAAACAACAUAUGCUCCCCUUGUGAUGUUUUUGAACCGUUAAACCUCCAGCUUGGGCCACGGCUGUGGGCUAGACCUCUCCCUCUGGUGUUCAGCUCCCUGUCAACAUACAUUAUGGCAUUUCCAAGGGGCAGUGCUCUCCUGACCAUAGGCACCAUCACUAACACAGCAGCAAGAUGAAAGGGUUGAUGAAUGCAAUGGACAGGAGAUGGAGGAACUGGAAAGAAUGGCUUCUGCCUUCAUAGGAGCAGCCCUAGUUGAGAGUCUGCCUUUGGAAAUAGGAUUACCAGAUGGACACAGCCUGGAUCAGUCCUAGCUGGAAAAGCCACCAGAGAAACAGCAAAGAGAAGAGUGAGAGAAGGACCAUGAAAGGGCGUGGGUGUAGUGCUGAACUGCAUUAUUCUUAACAUUCAUAGAACCAUAGAAUGGCCUGGGUUGUAAAGGACCACAAUGAUCAUCUCGUUCCAACCCCCUGCUAUGUGCAGGGUUGCCAAUCACCAGCCCAGGCUGCCCAGAGCCACAUCCAGCCUGGCCUUGAAUGCCUGCAGGGAUGGGGCAUCCACAGCCUCCUUGGGCAACCUGGGAACAGUGCGUCACCACCCUGAGUGAAAAACCUCCUCCUAAUAUCUAACCUAAACUUCCUCUGUCUCAGUUGGAUUCCUACUCGACUCAGACAUUGCAAA
rnacentral:lncRNA from 1 species